GACGAGGGGUCCAAGCGUUGUUCGGAAUCAUUGGGCGUAAAGCGGGUGUAGGUGGCUUGGUAAGUCGGGUGUGAAAGCCCAGGGCUCAACCCUGGAAGUGCAUUCGAUACUGCUGAGCUUGAGUGCGAGAGAGGUUAAUAGAAUACCUGGUGUAGUGGUGAAAUACGUAGAUAUCAGGUGGAACACCGGAGGCGAAGGCGGUUAACUGGCUCGACACUGACACUGAGACCCGAAAGUGCGGGGAAUCAAAC
rnacentral:rRNA from 1 species